GCAUGGUGAUGCAUUGACGGCAGGCCCUUAUCUGUGGGCCUCUCAUAGUGUACACAUGCCAGAGGAGUGUGCAACCCCAAACCAUUGUCCAGCCUCCUCACUGGUGGCCUGGCCUGUGAGCACUGAAGGGUGCUGUCUAAUG
ensembl:snoRNA